GUUUAGUGUGUUCCCCCCCGCGCUCCGUGCAGCUUCCAGGAAACGCUGUGGAUCCUCAACUCUGAGAGCUACCUCUAGUGGCCAAAAGAGAAAGUGCAAGUGCAAUCCUUCCUCCUUGCUGCUCUGUAGGUGACAGAGUAACAUCAGGAACGAAUGUGUGACCCUCAGCAGAGCAGAAAAACUCAGACUGCUCCAGAUUACUCUCCAGGUGGAUGAAGUGCUCUUUCUGAUUCUGCAGCCUUAUCAGAUAACUCCAUUGUACCUACACAUACUACUAGAAGAGAAAGAUCUCCUCAGAAGGGGGUUACAUGGAGCAAAGCCACUCAAUACCGGCCCACAGACCCUACAGAGGCUGAGUUCCGAGCUUGUGAUGCACAACCAUCUUCCCCUGCAUCCCUUUGUGUUCUCUUCUCUCGCCAGCCCUCCCAUCAAAUAAGUGAUACAACACCUCUGCUCCUCUGCUCCAUCAUGGCACUGCCAAGUGCAGAGUCAUAGUGGCAAACCCAUUAUUUACUAUUGUUGCUUGCAUUAGUUGAGGGUCCUUUGCUUUUCCUGUCUGUGCCCCUACCAUGGCUAGAAAACCGCAUGACCCAUUGUUCCACAACAGUAACUCCACAGACCUAUCACUCAGGGUUUUUUGUUUUCAAAUUAAAUUCAGUAAAGUCUCCCAGGAGCCUGAGCUGGUGUCAUAAA